rnacentral:tRNA from 1 species
CGGGAUGUGGCGCAGUUUGGUAGCGCGCUUGCUUUGGGAGCAAGAUGUCGCAGGUUCGAAUCCUGUCAUCCCGACCA